rnacentral:rRNA from 1 species
UAAAUGCGGAAGAGAUAAGUGCUGAAAGCAUCUAAGCACGAAACUUGCCCCGAGAUGAGUUCUCCCUGAGACUUAGAGUCUCCUGAAGGAACGUUGAAGACGACGACGUUGAUAGGCCGGGUGUGUAAGCGCAGCGAUGCGUUGAGCUAACCGGUACUAAUGAACCGUGAGGCUUAACCUUACAACGCCGAAGGUGUUU